rnacentral:rRNA from 1 species
UAACAAUGAUUUCCCUAGUAACGGCGAGUGAACAGGAAAGAGCUCAAAGUUGGAACCUGUUUGGUUUAGCCAAACCGGAUUGUAAACUGUAGAAGUGUUUUCCUGGCACGCCUAACGAAAAAGUCCAUUGGAACAUGGUGACAUAGAGGGUGAGAGCCCCGUAUUUUGUUAGAGCUGUUGUCUUUUGUGAUACACUUUCAAAGAGUCAGGUUGUUUGGGAAUGCAGCCUAAAUUGGGUGGUAAAUCUCACCUAAAGCUAAAUAUUGGCAAAAGACCGAUAGCGAACAAGUACCGUGAGGGAAAGAUGAAAAGAACUUUGAAAAGAGAGUUAAACAGUAUGUGAAAUUGUUAAAAGGGAACCGUUUGGAGCCAGACUGGCUUGAUUGUAAUCAAUCUAGAUCUCGAUCUGGAUGCACUUGCAGUCUAUGCCUGCCAACGACAAUUCAUUCUGGAGGAAAAAACUAGGAGGAAUGUGGCCCCUCGGGGUGUUAUAGACUUUUAGAAAAUACUCUGGUUUGGAUUGAGGAACGCAGCAGAUGCUAUUUGGCGAAGGUGCUGAGUGCUUUUAGUUUUAUUGGUUAGAAUUUCUGCUUCGGGUGGUGCUAAUCAAUACGAUUGGAACUCGCUUAGUUCACUUUUUAUCUGCUUAGGUUGUUGGCUUAAUGACUCUAAAUGA